AUACGAAGGGGGCGAGCGUUGUUCGGAUUUACUGGGCGUAAAGGGCGCGCAGGCGGCGGACCAAGUCAGGCGUGAAAGCCCCGGGCUUAACCUGGGAGGUGCGUCUGGGACUGGUUUGCUAGAGUUCGGGAGAGGAGCGUGGAAUUCCCAGUGUAGAGGUGAAAUUCGUAGAUAUUGGGAAGAACACCGGUGGCGAAGGCGGCGGUCUGGACCGAGAGUGACGCUGAGGAGGGAAAACGUGGGGGGCAAACAGGAUUAGAUGCCCGGGUAGUCCACGCUGCAAAAGAUGUGUGCUAGACGUUGGGGAGCCUAGCUCUUCGGUGUCGCAGCUAACGCUUUAAGCACACCGCCUGGGGAGUACGGCCGCAAGGUUAAAACUCAAAGGAAUUGACGGGG
rnacentral:rRNA from 1 species